GUGGCUGUGACUUGGUGAUAGAGUGCUUGCCUCAAACUCACAAGGCCCUGGGUUUAAUCCCCAGCAGCAACA
rnacentral:tRNA from 1 species